GUUUAUUCAAGAAAUUACUAUCAGUUUCUAAAAAGAAAGAAAAUGUAGACCUUCAGCCAUGGAUUAAAAGCAUAUGCAACCAUUUGUGGUAUGCAUGUGGAUCCUGCAACGGUGACCCAGAGGUUUUGACAGAAAAGUGGAAAUCUCUGCUCCAUCACUGCGGUGAACACAGGUGGGAAGAAAAUGGACGUCAACAAACGUGUGCCCACGAUGACCUCACCCAUGACCAGCAAAGGAGGAAACGAUGGCUACGAAAAGAGUCCACAGCCUUCCACACACUAUCAACACUGGUUUUACAUCCCAAUCUGUUGAAGGACAUGAGGCAAAUGGCCCUCUUCAAGCACACAGGCAAUCUUGAAGUUUACCAUUCUGUUCUUCUGAAAUACUGCAGAAAGAACCUGCAUUUUCACUACUCCUCGAUGACAGCUCGUUCAUAACUUGCUGUCAUGGAUCACAAUGAAAAUGUAAACCGUCAACAGGCCACAACCAGCUCAGGCAAGUAAUCAACUUUCCAAAAGUGGGGUGCUGACAAUGCAAAAUGCACAAUUGAAUUAUACAUACACACUGACAGAGAGCAAAAUAGACAAGGUAAUUUAGUUAGGGCAAAAAACAAUGCAUUACAACUGUAUAUAUUUCACUUUUACAGGUGUUCCGCGAUACAACAUUGUUUUCCCCAAGCAAAAUAAAAAUUGGUUGGCAAGGAAAAUUUAUGAACCAACAACACAAAACUUCAGGGAUGAACUUCUACAAAGGGUACAGGAACGGCGCAGUGACCCUACUGUACUUUUCAAGGACCCUUCCUCUCAAGUUUCUUUGCCUGAUAUACCUUGCAAUAUUUCAACAAAACCCAAACCGGACAAGGAGGCUGCUAUUGCAAAACAUGUGUCAAGGUUUUCCAAGUAAAAGACUGUCAACAGAAUACUGUAAAACAUUUUUUGGCCUUUUCUUAUUUUGUUUGAUUUUUCUUUUGGUGAAAUGCUAUCUCAUGAUGCAUAUUUACAUAAUUAUUAUUAUUAUUUUUUUGGUUAGAAAAAUUUGUAUAUAGUGUUUGAAACUGUUGAUAAUAAAAAAUUGUGCAUAUCUAUUGCAGUGAUAAAGAAAGCUCUCUGACUAAAAUUCUCUUUAACAUCUAAACUAAAACUGUUUGGUAAACCUUAAACCUAAAUUACAAACACAAGACAAUAUAUUUGUAUUAACAUUUUUAUUUAACAAGUAUAUCAGCAAUACACAAAAAUGUUAACUGUAAAUAUUCAAAAAAAUAAAAUAAAUAAAAAUAAAUUAGUGUAUUGACUUGCUUUAAAUUUCUUUACAUUAGCAUAAAAGCUUCUUCGGCAUCCUUGAAACCAACAUAUACUCCCGAGAAUGAGGGAUAUCUUUCCCAUAUGGCUCGCACUACACAAGAUGGAAGAACUUUUCUGUUGUGUCUUCCAAGUUUUUGACCUUUCAAUAUCCAUUUUGAGAACCACGCGGUAUGCCACCAGUCUGUACUGACUGUAAACAGAAAAAAAAGAAUUAGAAAGUGUUUACACACAUGAGGAUAGAUGAUAAAAAAAACACAUUGUAAAAAGCUAGGCUGCACGUGUAAUUAUUCUACAGUCAAAACAAACCUACUUACUCCAUAGAUAAAGUGCUAUCCGGUCCUUCUGGCCUCGGACGUCUCUUCCAGUUCACUUUAGGCAAAUUAAAAAACACUUCUAAAACACUUCGACUUAGCAGGGGCGGAAAACCGGGAUCCUCGGUUAUACAGCAAAAUACACUUGUCCCAUUGUCUGCGUUAUCCUAACUUUCAAGCUGUGGCAUUAUAAUGUCCCAAUCGAUGCAGCACAUACUCUCCUGUUCAGUUGGCAUCGCCUGGCACUGAUUACAUUUACACCACCAGCUCUCCAAUGCUCUCUGUCUUUCGGAAGCUUGAGACUGUGGUUGUGUUGCAGCGGCAGCCUCUUCCAUCUCUUGCAUUUCAGUGUCUGUGUAUUCAGGUUCGAAUAAGUAAGGUUGGUUAAAAAAAUUCAAGUCUUCAUCUACGUCAAAAUCUGCCGAUAUAUUUACAAAUAAUGGUUUUAACUACCACACGCGCAUUCACCUGCUUGUAAACAAAGUUUAGCGCUUCCGUCUAUGCCAGCACUUCAUCUUGAACCCUAGGUGGCGGUAAUACUCCUAAGGAGUGAGCAGCCAGUAACAAGUAGUAGUAGAAGAAGACCAUCGUCAGUUCAGUUCUCGCGCAUGCGUCAUGGAGCUCUCGUGAACUAACGUCAUAGGCCUACAAGAGAGAAAAUGAAUAGUUGAAUAAAGUCGUUCUUUUGUUUGUUCUUUUGUUUUUUUUUUGUUUUUUUUUAAGUAUUAUCGUCGCUUGAGAAACGUAUAGUUGAGCCACUGUAGUGGCAUGGACUAUUUAAACAUUUUCUUCACUGACUUUCUGGACGGACAAGUUUGGGCCCCCUUAAAGCCAAUGGAGGAGUAUUCCAGCGCUCAUAUUUAAUCACAAAAAUAUAAAUUGGUAAUCCGAAGACGAACUAAAGACUUACAUGGUUGGAUCAACA